rnacentral:rRNA from 1 species
CUCUUGAAAUAUUUCAAGUAACCUCUGCCCUAUGAAUAGUUUAAAUGGCCGCAGUACUUUGACUGUGCAAAGGUAGCAUAAUCACUUGUCUCUUAAUUGGGGACUGGAAUGAAGGAGGCGACGAAAUUUAGACUAUUUGGCUUUAAGGUAAAAUUAACAUACAGGUCAAAAGGCCUUUAUAUACCAAAGGGACGAUAAGACCCUAUAAAACUUCACUAUACAACAAGUUAUCUAGCAAAUACUUAAGUUAUAGUUUAACUGGGGCGGUUUAUAUAAAAACAAUUGAAAUAUGAAUAUAUUAAAUAGAUUUAGAGAGCUCUAUUAAGAAAUGACUAAGUUACUUUAGGGAUAACAGCAUAAUUCUCCCAGAGAGUCCUAAUUGGCGGGAGAGCUUAUGACCUCGAUGUUGAAUUGGGAUGUCUAACAUAAGUAGAA